rnacentral:ncRNA from 17 species
GGCAACUUGCCCCGUAAGGGGGUGCUAUUCAUGGAACAAAUUAUCUCGUUAGUUAUCGCACCACUUUUAGUGGGUCUAAUAAUCACAUUAGUUGAUCAUUGGUUAGAUGAUUAGACGAUAGCAAGCAAGUUGCUGUCUAACUCACACGCUUGUAUUCGCAACAAGUGCAA